GUAAAUGAGAAACAACAACGGUGAAAACUGAUUGUCCAACCGUGGCUGUGAAGAACCAGUCAGGAAGUGAAAGCAGGGGAAGCGCAAUGUUUACAAAGCAACAACCAGAUUCGCACCCGGUGACACUGACCUGUGUGUGUCCUUAGAUGAGC